rnacentral:lncRNA from 1 species
AUCUCUGCCCUGCUCCUGGUUACAGGCCUCUCCCCUGGAGGCCUCUCCCCGGCCGUGGGGCUCUGCUCUGGCUUGUGAGGUGUGCGUCUCUGCCCUGGACGUCCACUGCUCCGGCUGCAGCCCCAGCCCUGACUUCAGCCGCCGCCUGGAGGAACUGAUGAGACGCCUGACCCAAAGCCUGCUCCUCUGCAGAGACCAGCAGCGGUGUGACUCUCUGACCGACUGCGUGCUGACUCUGGGACGCUCGCCGCUGCUCCGCUGUUUCCUGAUUGGACAGAUCCUCUCCCACCUCCGCACCGUCAGUGAGCAGCUGUGGACGCUCUGCCAGGCAUCGGAGCCGGAGCUCAGUGAGUUUCCGAUGGCGGCGUUUGAAAACAGCUGUCGCCACAUGUGGAUCCUGGAGCAGCUGCUGCUGCGUUCCAACGGACCAAUGAGAGGAGAGACCGACACUGACCGGCCAAUGAGAGGAGAGACUGAGACUGAGCGGCCAAUGAGAGGAGAGACCGACACCGACCGGCCAAUGAGAGGAGAGACCGACACUGACCGGCCAUGAGAGGAGAGACUGAGACUGAGCCCAAUGAGAGGAGGACACCGACCGCCAAUGAGAGGAGAGACCGACACUGACCGGCCAAUGAGAGGAGAGACCGACACUGACCGGCCAAUGAGAGGAGAGACCGACACCGACCGGCCAAUGAAGGAGAGACCGACACCGACCGGCCAAUGAGAGGAGAGACCGACACCGACCGGCCAAUGAGAGGAGAGACUGACACCAACGGACGAAUGAGAGCGUCCCACAGCGGGCCAAUGAGAGCGUCCACCGCGGGCCAAUGGGAGCGUCCCACAGCGGGCCAAUGAGAGCGUCCCACAGCGGGCCAAUGAGAGCGUCCCACAGCGGGCCAAUGAGAGCGUCCCACAGCGGGCCAAUGGGAGCGUCCCACAGCGGGCCAAUGGAGCGUCCCACAGCGGGCCAAUGAGAGUGGACCUGUCGGCGGUGCAGGGCGAGCUGGAGGAGCUGCGGCGCCGUGUUUUCCCGCUCUCUCAGGAGUUUCCUCUUUUCGCCGUUUGUCUGUGGAGGAUCCUGAACCUCAUCGCCAACGGAAACAAGCCGGACGAGCGAGAGUAAAGGACUUACACACAGCUCUAUGACUGAACAUUUAACUUAAACUGUAUUUAUAUUAUCGUCUUAUUAAAUGUGCUGAAGGAAAACGCGCUGGUUUUAAAGUCACUUUAUUGUCGUCGACACGUCACGUUUGUUAUUGUCCUGUGUUUUAGCGCCUCGUCC